UGCAAGCCGAGCGGUAUUUGUUCUUCGGAACAGAGAGAGCGGCGUACGGGUGCGGAACACGUGUGCAACCUGCCUUUAUCAGGGGGAUAGCCUUUCGAAAGGAAGAUUAAUACCCCAUAAUAUAAUGAACGGCAUCGUUUAUUAUUGAAAACUCCGGUGGAUAGAGAUGGGCACGCGCAAGAUUAGAUAGUUGGUAGGGUAACGGCCUACCAAGUCAAUGAUCUUUAGGGGGCCUGAGAGGGUGAUCCCCCACACUGGUACUGAGACACGGACCAGACUCCUACGGGAGGCAGCAGUGAGGAAUAUUGGACAAUGGGUGAGAGCCUGAUCCAGCCAUCCCGCGUGAAGGACGACGGCCCUAUGGGUUGUAAACUUCUUUUGUAUAGGGAUAAACCUACUCUCGUGAGAGUAGCUGAAGGUACUAUACGAAUAAGCACCGGCUAACUCCGUGCCAGCAGCCGCGGUAAUACGGAGGGUGCAAGCGUUAUCCGGAUUUAUUGGGUUUAAAGGGUCCGUAGGCGGAUCUGUAAGUCAGUGGUGAAAUCUCAUAGCUUAACUAUGAAACUGCCAUUGAUACUGCAGGUCUUGAGUAAAGUAGAAGUGGCUGGAAUAAGUAGUGUAGCGGUGAAAUGCAUAGAUAUUACUUAGAACACCAAUUGCGAAGGCAGGUCACUAUGUUUUAACUGACGCUGAUGGACGAAAGCGUGGGGAGCGAACAGGAUUAGAUACCCUGGUAGUCCACGCCGUAAACGAUGCUAACUCGUUUUUGGGUUUUCGGAUUCAGAGACUAAGCGAAAGUGAUAAGUUAGCCACCUGGGGGAGUACGUUCGCAAGAAUGAAACUCAAGGAAUUGACGGGGGCCCGCACAAGCGGUGGA
rnacentral:rRNA from 1 species